CAUGCUAUUUCCUCAAAUCAGGUAGGACUACCCGCUGAACUUAAGCAUAUCAAUAAGCGGAGGAAAAGAAACCAACAGGGAUUGCCUCAGUAACGGCGAGUGAAGCGGCAAGAGCUCAACUUUGGAAUCGCUCCGGCGAGUUGUAGUCUGGAGGCGGCCGGUCCGCCUUGCGCAACCAAAUCUAAGUCCUCUGGAACGAGGCGCUUGAAAGGGUGACAGCCCCGUGGAUUUUUGUUGUUGUGCUUGGCCCCUGGUCUGCCGACGAGUCGAGUUGUUUGGGAAUGCAGCUCUAAGUGGGUGGUAAAUUCCAUCUAAAGCUAAAUACCGGCGAGAGACCGAUAGCGAACAAGUACAGUAAUGGAAAGAUGAAAAGCACUUUGAAAAGAGAGUGAAACAGUACGUGAAAUUGUUGAAAGGGAAGGGCUUGCAGCUAGACAACUGUCAGCAUCGGGUGGAGCGGAACUAAAAGUGGGAGCUGAUGUAGCAACCCCCCCGGGGUUGCAUUAUACAACUCUCAGAUGGUUCCUGCUUCGCCCGAGGAUCGCCUAUUUGAAGGAUGCUGGCGCAAUGGCUGCAAGCCACCCGUCUUGAAACACGGACCAAGGAGUCUAACGUCUAUGCGAGUGUACGGGUGGAAAACCCCUGCGCGGAAUGAAAGUAAGAGGUUGGAGCCCGCAAGGGUGCACAAUCGACCGACCUGGAAG
rnacentral:rRNA from 1 species